CAUGAGCCCUAGAGCAAUGCCCUAAAGAUCAUGCAAGGCCUAAGAUGAACAAAAAAUCUAAUAAAAUCCACAAUUAAUUCAUUUAUUUAGAUAGACGAAUCAACAUGUCCAGAUAAUCAAAUUGAUUCAAUUACAAAAUCUUCAAAUGCUCAUCAUCAUCAAGAAAGAUAAACUAACUAGCUAGCUAAUAACUCUGAUACUCGUUCUCUGCGCCCAACCCAUCCAUGUAUGCAUCCUGCAACUCUGAAAGAGAAAGAAGAAGGGGGUGAGCUUUACAGCCCAGUAAGAACCCCUACACAUCCAUACCAACACAAUAGUAAUAUGAAUUUUGAAAACCACGGCAAAACGAUGCACACUUCAUGAGAUCAUAAACCGGCUAUCAAAAGACUCAAGUAAUCAAUAUAAGUUUGUACGUCAAACAUCAAUGAAAGUCCAGUCACACAAGAAUGAUAUAGCAUAGGAUAACUCAUAUAUAUUCAUUACUGUGUUCUUUUUUUUUCCAUUCUAUAUUAACUUGAUCCGGAUCAAUUAUCUUUCCGACUUUGGGCCAAAUCCCGGUCACAUUUCCAGCCCGUGACAGGGCAAACCAAUAGUGUCACACUUAGAGCCUGUGACGGGCAAACCAACAUUGUCACACUUAANNNNNNNNNNNNNNNNNUCAACAUUGUCACACUUAGAGCCUGUGACGGGCAACCAAUAGUGUCACACUUAGAGCCUGUGACGGGCAAACCAAUAGUGUCACACUUAGAGCCUGUGACGGGCAAACCCAUAAUAACGAGACGGCCCAAAGUCAAUGUUCAUUUAAUCAAUUUCACAUCCACACAUCAAUCCCUUUUAUUUACAACUAUAGACUAAUCCGGUCACGUUUCCAGCCCGUGACGGGGCAACCAAUAUUAACAAGGUUAGUCUAUAGUACCACAUCCAUAAAUCCAAUUAUACAGGUGUAGGUUAUGCACAUGCAUACAUCAUAAUAUCAAUCACAAGCCAACACAAUCAAAAUAUAGUUUAAUAUAACAAUUUUGAUUUGUCUGGAUCAUAGCAUAUUAAUUCAGAUCGUAGCAUAUUAUACAUAUAUAAGUAUAAAAAUAUUUAUAUUAUGCAGGAUUGGC
rnacentral:lncRNA from 1 species